GACGAACGCUGGCGGCGUGCCUAAUACAUGCAAUUAGAACGCUGAAGAGAGGAGCUUGCUCUUCUUGGAUGAGUUGCGAACGGGUGAGUAACGCGUAGGUAACCUGCCUUGUAGCGGGGGAUAACUAUUGGAAACGAUAGCUAAUACCGCAUAACAAUGGAUGACACAUGUCAUUUAUUUGAAAGGGGCAAUUGCUCCACUACAAGAUGGACCUGCGUUGUAUUAGCUAGUAGGUGAGGUAAUGGCUCACCUAGGCGACGAUACAUAGCCGACCUGAGAGGGUGGUCGGCCACACUGGGACUGAGACACGGCCCAGACUCCUACGGGAGGCAGCAGUAGGGAAUCUUCGGCAAUGGGGGCAACCCUGACCGAGCAACGCCGCGUGAGUGAAGAAGGUUUUCGGAUCGUAAAGCUCUGUUGUAAGUCAAGAACGGGUGUGAGAGUGGAAAGUUCACACUGUGACGGUAGCUUACCAGAAAGGGACGGCUAACUACGUGCCAGCAGCCGCGGUAAUACGUAGGUCCCGAGCGUUGUCCGGAUUUAUUGGGCGUAAAGCGAGCGCAGGCGGUUUGAUAAGUCUGAAGUUAAAGGCUGUGGCUCAACCAUAGUUCGCUUUGGAAACUGUCAAACUUGAGUGCAGAAGGGGAGAGUGGAAUUCCAUGUGUAGCGGUGAAAUGCGUAGAUAUAUGGAGGAACACCGGUGGCGAAAGCGGCUCUCUGGUCUGUAACUGACGCUGAGGCUCGAAAGCGUGGGGAGCGAACAGGAUUAGAUACCCUGGUAGUCCACGCCGUAAACGGUGAGUGCUAGGUGUUGGAUCCUUUCCGGGAUUCAGUGCCGCAGCUAACGCAUUAAGCACUCCGCCUGGGGAGUACGACCGCAAGGUUGAAACUCAAAGGAAUUGGCGGGGGCCCGCACAAGCGGUGGAGCAUGUGGUUUAAUUCGAAGCAACGCGAAGAACCUUACCAGGUCUUGACAUCCCGAUGCUAUUUCUAGAGAUAGAAAGUUACUUCGGUACAUCGGUGACAGGUGGUGCAUGGUUGUCGUCAGCUCGUGUCGUGAGAUGUUGGGUUAAGUCCCGCAACGAGCGCAACCCCUAUUGUUAGUUGCCUUCAUUCAGUUGGGCACUCUAGCGAGACUGCCGGUAAUAAACCGGAGGAAGGUGGGGAUGACGUCAAAUCAUCAUGCCCCUUAUGACCUGGGCUACACACGUGCUACAAUGGUUGGUACAACGAGUUGCGAGUCGGUGACGGCGAGCUAAUCUCUUAAAGCCAAUCUCAGUUCGGAUUGUAGGCUGCAACUCGCCUACAUGAAGUCGGAAUCGCUAGUAAUCGCGGAUCAGCACGCCGCGGUGAAUACGUUCCCGGGCCU
rnacentral:rRNA from 1 species